rnacentral:rRNA from 1 species
UGGGGAAUAUUGCACAAUGGGCGCAAGCCUGAUGCAGCCAUGCCGCGUGUGUGAAGAAGGCCUUCGGGUUGUAAAGCACUUUCAGCGAGGAGGAAGGUGGGUGAACUUAAUACGUUCAUCAAUUGACGUUACUCGCAGAAGAAGCACCGGCUAACUCCGUGCCAGCAGCCGCGGUAAUACGGAGGGUGCAAGCGUUAAUCGGAAUUACUGGGCGUAAAGCGCACGCAGGCGGUUUGUUAAGUCAGAUGUGAAAUCCCCGGGCUCAACCUGGGAACUGCAUUUGAAACUGGCAAGCUAGAGUCUCGUAGAGGGGGGUAGAAAUUCCAGGUGUAGCGGUGAAAUGCGUAGAGAUCUGGAGGAAUACCGGUGGCGAAGGCGGCCCCCUGGACGAAGACUGACGCUCAGGUGCGAAAAGCGUGGGGAGCAAAACAGGAUUAGAU